UGGGGAAUAUUGGACAAUGGGCGAAAGCCUGAUCCAGCCAUGCCGCGUGUGUGAAGAAGGUCUUCGGAUUGUAAAGCACUUUAAGUUGGGAGGAAGGGCAUUAACCUAAUACGUUAGUGUUUUGACGUUACCGAAAGAAUAAGCACCGGCUAACUCUGUGCCAGCAGCCGCGGUAAUACAGAGGGUGCAAGCGUUAAUCGGAAUGACUGGGCGUAAAGCGCGCGUAGGUGGUUUGUUAAGUUGGAUGUGAAAUCCCCGGGCUCAACCUGGGAACUGCAUUCAAAACUGACUGACUAGAGUAUGGUAGAGGGUGGUGGAAUUUCCUGUGUAGCGGUGAAAUGCGUAGAUAUAGGAAGGAACACCAGUGGCGAAGGCGACCACCUGGACUAAUACUGACACUGAGGUGCGAAAGCGUGGGGAGCAAACA
rnacentral:rRNA from 1 species